rnacentral:rRNA from 1 species
GACGAACGCUGGCGGCGUGCUUAACACAUGCAAGUCGAACGGAAAGGCCCCUUCGGGGGUACUCGAGUGGCGAACGGGUGAGUAACACGUGAGUAACCUGCCCUUGACUUCGGGAUAACUUCAGGAAACCGGGGCUAAUACCGGAUAGGAAUCCUUGCUGCAUGGUGGGGGUUGGAAAGCUUCGGCGGUUUUGGAUGGACUCGCGGCUUAUCAGCUUGUUGGUGGGGUAGUGGCUUACCAAGGCUUUGACGGGUAGCCGGCCUGAGAGGGCGACCGGCCACAUUGGGACUGAGAUACGGCCCAGACUCCUACGGGAGGCAGCAGUGGGGAAUAUUGCACAAUGGGCGGAAGCCUGAUGCAGCAACGCCGCGUGCGGGAUGACGGCCUUCGGGUUGUAAACCGCUUUCAGCAGGGGCGAAGCUUGUGGUGACGGUACCUGCAGAAGAAGCACCGGCUAACUACGUG